GAUGAACGCUGGCGGUAUGCCUAACACAUGCAAGUCGAACGGGCUUUUCGGAGCUAGUGGCGGACGGGUGAGCAACGCGUGAGAAUCUGCCUUCAGGAUGGGGAUAACAGGGAGAAAUCGCUGCUAAAACCCAAUGUGCCGAAAGGUGAAAUACUUGUAGCCAGAAGAGGGGCUCGCGUCCGAUUAGUUAGUCGGUGGGGUAAGAGCCUACCAAGGCAGCGAUCGGUAGCUGGUCUGAGAGGAUGAGCAGCCACAGUGGGACGGAGAUCCGGCCCAGAGGCCUACGGGAGGCGGCGGUGGGGAAAUUUCCGCAAUGGGCGAAAGCCUGACGGAGCAAUACCGCGUGAGGGAGGAAGGCUUUUGGGUUGUAAACCUCUUUUGUUAAGGAAGAAGAAAGUGACGGUACUUAAAGAAUAAGCGUCGGCUAACUCCGUGCCAGCCGCCGCCGUAA
rnacentral:rRNA from 1 species